UCUGGGCCUGUUUUCUUAUCUGCAAAACAAGGGGGUCUGGGAUACAUUGGACCAAGAGCCUUACACACGAAUGUCCUUUGGCCUCCACGGUAAGUCACCGCGAUUCAGCAGCCUGAAACAACAGGUUCAUUACCUCACAGUUCUGAAGGUUGAAGUCUGAAAUGGGUCUCUUGGCGCUAAAGCCGUGAUGUGGCAGACUGGUUUCUGGAGGCUGGAGGAGGUUCUGCUCCCUGCUUUCUCGGCCUCCGGUGGCUGCCGGUUUACCUGCAUCGAUUUCUAGGAGGUCUCCAACAGCUUGAGGGGCGACCAUCCCGAGCCUUGGCACCAAGGGCAGUGAUAGCCAAGAUCACGGCCCCCAGACUCGGGUCCCUCGUGGUGCUCCCUGAGCCUCCUUUUCUGAACCAGGGCAACGGUAGAGACUGAGAUCAUAACACAGUCUCCGUCAGGCACCAGUGAGGUCUCUUGACUGCAGCACCUGGACGAGGUCCCUGACUGGCCAGUGCAGUUCAAAAAACCAGGAGUGGACCUGUGUUCUUGAGACGCAGGAAGGGGCCCGUGUUCUUCAUUUCUUUUCUACAUGGCACUUAACAGACCUCGAAUCUGUCAUUUUCCGUAAGUGGAGCGGGAAGUUAGACCUGGGAGCCAGAGCCCGGCGUGGCUGCUUCUGCCCGAAAGCCGUCCUGGGAGGUCAGAACUCCCUCCCAGCCCUCGGCAGAGGGUGGAAACUGUGGGGUGGAGGACCCAGACUGAGGAAUGCCACACGGGAAGCGUGGUGUCACUGUGAGAUAAAUGCUCAUGGAGCGCAGGAGGAAGACGGCAGCACAGAGCUGACUUGCCUCUCCGCCCCGUUGCACAAGAGGGCUCGCCUGCGUUCUGGAACCCGCAGAGGCCGGGAAGCUAAGCACCGUGUGCGGCCUGUAUGCAUUACUGAACACUGACAAAGAGAGCAGCUGUGUCACAAGCUUUACCUGGAUAGGUGGCUUCAUUUCAUUUCCCCCACAUGGUUCUGAGCAUUUUACUAAUAAAAAAGUGAAGUUGAC
rnacentral:lncRNA from 1 species